rnacentral:rRNA from 1 species
UACGUAGGGUGCAAGCGUUGUCCGGAAUUACUGGGCGUAAAGCGUGCGCAGGCGGUUUUGUAAGUCUGACGUGAAAUCCCCGGGCUCAACCUGGGAAUUGCGUUGGAGACUGCAAGGCUGGAGUCUGGCAGAGGGGGGGUAGAAUUCCACGUGUAGCAGUGAAAUGCGUAGAGAUGUGGAGGAACACCGAUGGCGAAGGCAAUCCCCUGGGCCUGCACUGACGCUCAUGCACGAAAGCGUGGGGAGCAAACAGG